UAGUUUCCCAGCUGCCUUUGAAGC
rnacentral:piRNA from 1 species